GGAGUGUCUGUGCUUUGGGGAGGGUUGGGGAAAAGGAGGAAUGAGCCGGGUACCCCAAAGAGUGGGGGCACCUUCUCGCCAUCAUCUCAUUUAAUGCUGAUUCAGCUUCUUGACAGAGGGCAUCCCCCCACACUUUGCAUCUACUCAAAGCCCGUAGACCUAAAGUCAGUUACCCAAAGCCAUACAACCAGGAUCAAAACCUCAGGCUUUCAAGUGGAGUCAUAAAUGUUACGUGUGUAAUGUCCAUCAGAUGGAGGUCAGCCUGUGGGCUGCAGAGCCUCCCAGCCUUUAAUACCUGGUGCUUUGGCUCACUCCAGCUCUUCUUCACCCUGGCCUUCUUGCUCUCUGAAGGGGUAUCAGCAAAAUCACCACCAAGGGAGACCCACAAGUGUGACCUGUGACCACUGAAACACAGUCCUGCAGCUGCCUCCUCUCAGACUAUUU
ensembl:lncRNA